UCAAAUUUUAGUGGACCUUGCUUGUAACAUAGGAGCUAUAAAUACAGGUUGAAAUGAGAGCUGUGAUGACAGGAAGUGCCCCAUACUGAUGGAUGACGUACAUACCUGAGAACGUGUUUAUUGCAGGAUGAGGUUUUCGGGACUCACUAUCCAUCUGGCCAUCAGACCAUGUGUUCUUCAGUUCUCGGCUGGCUUAUCACAGUGUAACUGUCCACCUUGAUAAUCACAAGCUAAGAAAUGUCCCUGCUUUAAUGGAACAAAGCUACCACCUGGGGAACUGGGCACAGGAUGCACCUGUCACUCCGAGUUAUCCCAGGGCCUUCAGAUGUGGGACAGAGCCACGCUGGGGCCGUGUUCCUUAUACUAAAUAAGCUGUGACUGCAUCUGUUGUGUACGUGCUGCUUAAACCCAGAUGCUCAGGAGUGAUGUACAUUUUGCUGAAAAAGUUCUACAGCCUGGUGGGGGACUGUGCAACCAACUGUU